UACGUAGGGUGCGAGCGUUAAUCGGAAUUACUGGGCGUAAAGCGUGCGCAGGCGGUUGUGUAAGACAGAUGUGAAAUCCCCGGGCUCAACCUGGGAACUGCAUUUGUGACUGCACGGCUGGAGUGCGGCAGAGGGGGAUGGAAUUCCGCGUGUAGCAGUGAAAUGCGUAGAUAUGCGGAGGAACACCGAUGGCGAAGGCAAUCCCCUGGGCCUGCACUGACGCUCAUGCACGAAAGCGUGGGGAGCAAACGGG
rnacentral:rRNA from 1 species